AGGGAUUUGUUGUAGAUGGUCUACGUUUUGAUUGCAGAUCUUAAACCUGGAGUUCGAUCCUUCCUUAUCCCUA
rnacentral:tRNA from 1 species